rnacentral:rRNA from 1 species
UCUGCACAACGACUAUAACCAUGUGCUCAGUCUGCCUGUCAAGCGGGUGGGCGACGUCACCUGUAUGCUGGAACGCACAUUUUGUGGAAUCAGCAGCCAAUUAUCAUCUCUGCUUUGAUGUCUUUGGUUCACAGAUUAGGUGGUGACGGUCAGCAUGACGCGUUUUUAGAUGUCAAAAAUGCCCCAAUUCAUUUGUUACAAAAUUCUGUGGUCUCAGAGAGAGAAUCUAAAAGAUCCUUGGAACCCCGGUCCCAACCAGAACACUUUUGAACUCCCUAAUCUAGUACCUUCCGGAUCCGAAAGUUGACCCCAAAUGAAUUGAUGGAGCAUGGCUCUGAACAUGCCGGCGCUCAUCAAGAUAUAAUCGGUCUCUGUGGCUUGCAACUACAGCUUGAGAAACGUUCCGUAGGUGAACCUGCGGAAGGAUCAUUA